rnacentral:rRNA from 1 species
GCCAAGAUUUAGUGUUCAAGGUGAUACCUGCUCAGUGAUCAAUAAUUGAAUUAGGUUAAUUCCUAGUAAUUUGAUUAAACAGCUGCCUUAAUCCUAGAGGGUACUAAGUAAGCAUAAUCUGAUGCCGUUUAAUUGGCGGAGAGUUGAAUGGACGAACGAGCGCAUAACUGUCUUGUUAGGAAUUAAAUUGAACUAGACAUUCAAGUGAAGAGGCUUGAUUUAAUAGUUGGACGAGAAGACCCCGUGAAGCUUUACUAUAAGUUAAUUAAAUAUGUGUUUUAUAGUUUAUAACUAAUAAAUUUAAAAGUUUUUACAGGUUUUACUAGUUAACUAGGUAGUUUAGGUGGGGCGCCUGUACUUUAAUAAAAACAAGGAAUUAGCAAUAGUGAAAAAAAAAAUUAAACUGUGUAACUUAUUUGUUUAUACAGAGUUAUUUACGGUUAAUCGACCCUUAUUAUUACAAAAUAAGUUAAAGGAUAAUAGCUACUCCGGGGAUAACAGGGUAAUUAAGUAUUAUAGCUGUUAUGUAAUAUUUUGUUUGCCACCUCGAUGUUGAAUUGGCUUAUCCUAGCGGAGUAGAAGCUGCUAAGGGUAGGACUGUUCGUCCUGUAAUAAGCU